rnacentral:rRNA from 1 species
GAGUAUAGUGGCGCACGGGUGAGUAACGCAUAGGAACGUACCUUCGGGUGGGGAAUAACCACGGGAAACUGUGGCUAAUACCGCAUAAGCUCGUAAGAGGAAAAGUGGCUUCGGCUACUGCCCAUAGAUCGGCCUAUGUCCCAUUAGCUUGUUGGUAGGGUAAUGGCCUACCAAGGCUACGAUGGGUAGCUGGUCUGAGAGGAUGAUCAGCCACACUGGAACUGAGACACGGUCCAGACUCCUACGGGAGGCAGCAGUGGGGAAUCUUGCACAAUGGGCGAAAGCCUGAUGCAGCAACGCCGCGUGGGUGAAGAAGGCUCUUGGGUCGUAAAGCCCUUUCGAUUGGGAAGAAGGGUCCUAAGGUAAAUAAUCUUGGGAUUUGACGGUACCAGAAGAAGAAGCACCGGCUAACUCCGUGCCAGCAGCCGCGGUAAUACGGAGGGUGCAAGCGUUGUUCGGAAUUACUGGGCGUAAAGCGCACGUAGGCGGGUUCAUAAGCCGAUUGUGAAAGCCCAGAGCUCAACUUUGGAAUUGCAGUCGGAAACUACGAAUCUUGAAUGCCCGAGAGGGUGGGGGAAUUCCUGGUGUAGACGUGACAUUCGUAGAUAUCAGGAGGAACACCUGAGGCGAAGGCGCCUACCCUGGCGGUGCCUUGACGCUGAGGUGCGAAAGCGUGGGGAGCAAACCAGGAUUGGAUACCCUGGUAGUCCACCCCCGUAAACGAUGGAUUACUAGGGCGUUCGGGAGUUGUUAACCCUUCUGAGUGCCGCAGCACACCGCAUUAAGUAAUCCCGCCUGGGGAGUACCGGUCGCAAGGCUAAAACUCAAAAGGAAAUGAGCGGGGGCCCGCACAACCGGUGGAGUAUGUGGUUUAAUUCGAAGCAACGCGCAGAACCUUACCUGGGCUUGACAUCCCACGACCGCUACAGAGAUGUAGUUUCCUCUUCGGGGGCGUGGUGACAGGUGCUGCAUGGCUGUCGUCAGCUCGUGUCGUGAGAUGUUCGGUUAAGUCCGGCAACGAGCGCAACCCCUAUUGUUAGUUGCCAUCAUUAAGUUGGGCACUUUAGCGAGACUGCCGGUGAUAAACCGGAGGAAGGCGGGGAUGACGUCAAGUCCUCAUGGCCCUUACGCCCAGGGCUACACACGUACUACAAUGGCAAAGACAGAGCGACGCGAGACCGCGAGGUGAAGCUAAUCGCAAAAACAUUGUCUCAGUCCGGAUUGGAGUCUGCAACUCGACUCCAUGAAGCUGGAAUCGCUAGUAAUCGCAGAUCAGCACGCUGCGGUGAAUACGUUCCCGGGCCUUGUACACACCGCCCGUCACACCACGAAAGUGGUCAUAACCAGAAGC